rnacentral:rRNA from 1 species
AGCAGCCGCGGUAAUUCCAGCUCCCAUAGCGUAUAUUAAAGUUGUUGCAGUUAAAAAGCUCGUAGUUGAACUUCGGGGUCUACCCAUUGGUCAGGCUUAAUUGUCUGCACUGGUGAGAUGGAUCUCUACCUUCUGAGGAACUUUCAUGCCAUUUAUUUGGUGUGGUUGGAAAUCAGGACUGUUACUUUGAAAAAAUUAGAGUGUUUAAAGCAGACUAUCGUCUGAAUACAUUAGCAUGGAAUAAUGAAAUAGGACGGACUGAUUCUAUUUCGUUGGUUUCUAGGAUCACCGUAAUGAUUAAUAGGGAUAGUUGGGGGCAUUAGUAUUCAAUUGUCAGAGGUGAAAUUCUUGGAUUUAUUGAAGACUAACUACUGCGAAAGCAUUUGCCAAGGAUGUUUUCAUUAAUCAAGAACGAAAGUUAGGGGAUCGAAGACGAUCAGAUACCGUCGUAGUCUUAACCAUAAACUAUGCCGACUAGGGAUCGGACGAAGUUAAUUUUAUAAUGACGCG